GUCUCAACCAAGCUAAGCAACAAGCACAAAGUAAUGAUAAAGGCGUACGCAGAAUUGGAAGAAGAUGCUCCCGGCCAAAUCGUUCCUUUUGGUGACGAAGAAAAUGAAUUGAUCGAGAACGAAAUCACUCAGUGCCCGAAUGAUGAUGAAUUUAUCGUCUAGGGUAAAAUGCCCAAUAGUGGACCCCCUAGUAGCGAAAUUUUGCUCUUCCUGGCAUAAGGAGUGGAAAUUUUUAAAAUAUUAAUUCUUCGUGAUAUCUAAUUUCAAGCUCUGCAUCUCCUCUUCACGAUACGUACAUGAAACACGCAAAUACUCAACGUUAUUCGUUGAAAUUAACAUUUUAAAGUCUGACUGAAUUCGCCCUAUAGUAGACCCCCUGGGGGUCCAUAAUAGGAAAUUGCUUCCCUAUAGU